rnacentral:rRNA from 1 species
AUUGAACGCUGGCGGCAUGCUUUACACAUGCAAGUCGAACGGUAACAGGCCGCAAGGUGCUGACGAGUGGCGAACGGGUGAGUAAUGCAUCGGAACGUGCCCAGUCGUGGGGGAUAACUACUCGAAAGAGUAGCUAAUACCGCAUACGAUCUAUGGAUGAAAGCGGGGGACCGUAAGGCCUCGCGCGAUUGGAUCGGCCUAUGUCAGAUUAGGUAGUUGGUGGGGUAAAGGCUCAACAAGCCAACGAUCUGUAGCUGGUCUGAGAGGACGACCAGCCACACGGGGACUGAGACACGGCCCAGACUCCUACGGGAGGCAGCAGUGGGGAAUAUUGGACAAUGGGCGCAAGCAUGAUCCAGCAAUGCCGCGUGCAGGAAGAAGGCCUUCGGGUUGUAAACUGCUUUUGUACGGAACGAAACGGCUCUGGUUAAUACCCGGGGCUAAUGACGGUACCGGAAGAAUAAGCACCGGCUAACUACGUG